UACGAAGGGGGCUAGCGUUGCUCGGAAUCACUGGGCGUAAAGCGCACGUAGGCGGAUUGUUAAGUCAGGGGUGAAAUCCUGGAGCUCAACUCCAGAACUGCCUUUGAUACUGGCGAUCUUGAGUCCGGGAGAGGUGAGUGGAACUCCGAGUGUAGAGGUGAAAUUCGUAGAUAUUCGGAAGAACACCAGUGGCGAAGGCGGCUCACUGGCCCGGUACUGACGCUGAUGUGCGAAAGCGUGGGGAGCAAAAGGG
rnacentral:rRNA from 1 species